ACGCUUCAUGGUUCGCCGCAUUGAUCCGAAGAAGAAAACUACAUUUCCCAUAAUCCCGUUCACCUGAAAACCUUUGUAAACAAGACCACGAUUUGUUUUUGCGGAUGUGUAAAGUUUAAGGUGAAAAUGUAAAAUGUUAAAAAUAAACAGUAACUUUUGUUUUAUUAAAAGACAAAGUGUUGUCUGAAAAGACUUUAGAUUUGUGGAAAUAAAUACAAUAAGCAUUGGGAGAGAAGAGUGAUUUUUUUCCUGUAAGGUAUAGUGACUCCUGUCUGAAAUGGGGGAUUUGGAAGAAGAUGGAUACCCUGACUGAAAUAGAAAGGAGAUCCUGGAGCACAGAGAGAGCCCACCUUCCAGGAUGCUGCAGCGCAAACAAAAACACACUUCCUUCAGUGCUUCUUGGCUUCAAAUUCAGGUCAGUUCAAAGACUCGACUCGAUCAGCCAGAGAUUAGAGACACUGCCUCACCAAUUCUUGCUUCUGACUCUUGAAAACAGAGAAGACGGAUUUGUGGACAAGGAGGAGGAAGGAUACACUCAGCUUGGACAACCACAACAAGAACAGCAGGAUAAAUUCAAUGCUCUUAUCUCUGUUUGGUUUCCUGAAAGCCCGUAA
rnacentral:lncRNA from 1 species